rnacentral:tRNA from 1 species
GGANUGGCGAAGUGGUUAACGCACCUGAUUGUGGUUCAGGCAUUCGUGGGUUCGAUUCCCAUCAUCCGCCC